AUACGGAGGGUGCAAGCGUUACUCGGAAUCACUGGGCGUAAAGCGCGCGCAGGCGGUCUUUUAAGUUGGAUGUGAAAGCCUACGGCUCAACCGUAGAACUGCAUCCAAAACUAUUAGACUAGAGUGUGGAAGAGGAAGAUGGAAUUAGUUGUGUAGGGGUAAAAUCCGUAGAGAUAACUAGGAAUACCAAAAGCGAAGGCAAUCUUCUGGAACACUACUGACGCUGAGGCGCGAAAGCGUGGGGAGCAAACGGGAUUAGAAACCCUGGUAGUCC
rnacentral:rRNA from 1 species